AGGUGCCUGCUCACCCUUCACCUUCCAUCAUGACUGGAAGCUUCCGAAGGCCCUCACAAGAAGCAGAUGCUGGCAACACACUUCCUGUAGAGCCUGUAGAAACCAAUUAGCUAUUUUGUAAAAUAGCUCAAAGUCAAUGAAAGACUAGAGUCAGAUACCCUGGAGGAGUAUUCUCUAGACAAUGAAGUUUUUCACUGAAGUUCAAGUGGAAAGGCAUUGGUUUUCCUCCAGCUGGAAAGAGAAGAAAAGACUGUGCUUCUCAACUUACUUUGUCCGCUGAAGAGAGGCAGACUUGUGUAGUGAGCUCUGGAGCCAGAUUAU
rnacentral:lncRNA from 1 species